GAUUUACCAAAGAAUGAUCAUCAAUAAAAUUGAAUUCAAACAGCAAAAUUGUCCCUGACAAACACCAAACCAGCCUUGUUCUACUGACUGCAGCAACAUUAAAUUUAACCAUUCCUUGCUGCAGUCUUCAUGUGUAUUACACGACCUUGUUCGAACCAACAUUGUGUUCUGCAUGAAACUCGCAUAGGACACCAAGGACCAAGAAAAGCUUGUACAGAUUUUUCU
rnacentral:lncRNA from 1 species